rnacentral:rRNA from 1 species
CCUACGGGUGGCUGCAGUGGGGAAUAUUGCACAAUGGGGGAAACCCUGAUGCAGCCAUGCCGCGUGUGUGAAGAAGGCCUUCGGGUUGUAAAGCACUUUCAGCGAGGAGGAAAGGUUGGUAGCUAAUAACUGCCAGCUGUGACGUUACUCGCAGAAGAAGCACCGGCUAACUCCGUGCCAGCAGCCGCGGUAAUACGGAGGGUGCAAGCGUUAAUCGGAAUUACUGGGCGUAAAGCGCACGCAGGCGGUUGGAUAAGUUAGAUGUGAAAGCCCCGGGCUCAACCUGGGAAUUGCAUUUAAAACUGUCCAGCUAGAGUCUUGUAGAGGGGGGUAGAAUUCCAGGUGUAGCGGUGAAAUGCGUAGAGAUCUGGAGGAAUACCGGUGGCGAAGGCGGCCCCCUGGACAAAGACUGACGCUCAGGUGCGAAAGCGUGGGGAGCA